rnacentral:rRNA from 1 species
GGAUUAGUGGCGAACGGGUGAGUAACACGUGGGCAAUCUGCCCUUCACUCUGGGACAAGCCCUGGAAACGGGGUCUAAUACCGGAUGAUACUUCCACUCGCAUGGGUGGGGGUUGAAAGCUCCGGCGGUGAAGGAUGAGCCCGCGGCCUAUCAGCUUGUUGGUGAGGUAGUGGCUCACCAAGGCGACGACGGGUAGCCGGCCUGAGAGGGCGACCGGCCACACUGGGACUGAGACACGGCCCAGACUCCUACGGGAGGCAGCAGUGGGGAAUAUUGCACAAUGGGCGAAAGCCUGAUGCAGCGACGCCGCGUGAGGGAUGACGGCCUUCGGGUUGUAAACCUCUUUCAGCAGGGAAGAAGCGAAAGUGACGGUACCUGCAGAAGAAGCGCCGGCUAACUACGUGCCAGCAGCCGCGGUAAUACGUAGGGCGCAAGCGUUGUCCGGAAUUAUUGGGCGUAAAGAGCUCGUAGGCGGUCUGUCGCGUCGGAUGUGAAAGCCCGGGGCUUAACCCCGGGUCUGCAUUCGAUACGGGCAGACUAGAGUGUGGUAGGGGAGAUCGGAAUUCCUGGUGUAGCGGUGAAAUGCGCAGAUAUCAGGAGGAACACCGGUGGCGAAGGCGGAUCUCUGGGCCAUUACUGACGCUGAGGAGCGAAAGCGUGGGGAGCGAACAGGAUUAGAUACCCUGGUAGUCCACGCCGUAAACGGUGGGAACUAGGUGUUGGCGACAUUCCACGUCGUCGGUGCCGCAGC